AGCAUAUCAAUAAGCGGAGGAAAAGAAAAUAACAAUGAUUUCCCUAGUAACGGCGAGUGAACAGGAAAAAGCUCAAAGUUGGAACCUGUUUGGCCUAGCUAAACCGGAUUGUAAACUGUAGAAGUGUUUUCCAGGCAAGCCGGACCGAUAAGUCCUUUGGAACAGGGCAUCAUAGAGGGUGAGAAUCCCGUCUUCGGUCUGAGCAUUUGCCUUUUGCGAUACACUUUCAAAGAGUCAGGUUGUUUGGGAAUGCAGCCUAAAUUGGGUGGUAAAUCUCACCUAAAGCUAAAUAUUGGCGAGAAACCGAUAGCGAACAAGUACCGUGAGGGAAAGAUGAAAAGAACUUUGAAAAGAGAGUUAAACAGUAUGUGAAAUUGUUAAAAGGGAACCGUUUGGAGCCAGACUGGCUUGUCUGUAAUCAGUCUAAGUUUCGGCUUGGAUGCACUUGCAGGCUAUGCCUGCCAACGACAAUUUGGCUUGAGGGAAAAAACUAGGGGAAAUGUGGCCCAUUCGUGGGUGUUAUAGUCCCUUAGAAAAUACCUUGGGCUGGAUUGAGGUACGCAGCGAAUGCUAUUUGGCGAGUUGGCUGGGAAUAUUUUCUGAGGUGCUCCGGUACUGAGGUUGAUAUUUCCAGUUACACUUCUAUUCGCUUAGGUUGUUGGCUUAAUGACUCUAAAUGACCCGUCUUGAAACACGGACCAAGGAGUCCACCAUUAGUGCAAGUGUUUGGGUGCCAAACCCAUACGCGUAAGGAAACUGAUUGAUACGAAUCCGCAAGGAGGCAGUAUCGUCCGGCGCUGACGUUUUAUACUGAAUUGACCGAGACAAAGCACUAAUGAUGGGACCCGAAAGAUGGUGAACUAUGCCUGAAUAGGGUGAAGCCAGAGGAAACUCUGGUGGAGGCUCGUAGCGAUUCUGACGUGCAAAUCGAUCGUCAAUUUGGGUAUAGGGGCGAAAGACUAAUCGAACCAUCUAGUAGCUGGUUCCUGCCGAA
rnacentral:rRNA from 1 species